GCGUAGCGCAGUUGGCUAGCGCACUUGAAUGGGGUUCAAGAGGUCACAGGUUCAAGCCCUGUCGCCCCGA
rnacentral:tRNA from 1 species